UAUAAAGUGGUGUUUGUGCACAGAAGAAUUUGGUUUUUCAGGGGAUAAGUUAGGUUAUCUUUUAUAG
rnacentral:tRNA from 1 species